rnacentral:ncRNA from 1 species
UUAAAGUUUGAUUUUAGCUUUAAUAUUUACUUUAAGAUUUUUUUUAAUGGAAAUUUUUGUGUGGUUUAAAAAGAUUUUUAAAAAAUUUUUUGAUUAGGGUUCAGUUUAUAAAAUUAUUAAUUAAAGAAAUUUAGAUUUAUAAAUUUUAAUAAUAUGGGUUAAAAUUGUGCCAGCAACUGCGGUUAUACAAUUUAUGUAAGUAAAUAAGAUUUAAGUAUAAAUUUAUUUUAAAUAAAAUAUUAUAUAAUUAAAUAAUAAUAAAUUAAGUGAAAUUUUUUUUUAUAAGAAAAUAUAUUUUAACUUAAAUAAUUUUAUGAAAUUUUAAAAAUAAACUAGGAUUAGAUACCCUAUUAUUUAAAAUUUAAAGUAAAAAUUUAAAAGAUUAAUAGUUAAGUUCUUUAAAUUUAAAAAAAUUGGCGGUGUUUAAAACUAAUUAGGGGAACUUGUUUUUUAAAUGAUAAUCCGCAUGAUACCUUACUUUAAUUAAUUUAAUUUAUUUACUGCCGUUAUCAGAUUAUUUUUUAAAAAGUUAAAUUUUCUUAAUUAUUUAAAAUUAAAAAUAAUUAUUUCAGGUCAUGGUGUAGUUUAUGUUAAAGUAAAAAUGAGUUACAAUAAAAUUUAUUUAUUUAUGGAUAUUUUAUUGAAAUAUAAAAUUGAAAGUGGACUUAAUAGUAAAUUAAAAUAUUACAUUUAUUUGAAUUUAGAAUUAAAUGUGUACAUAUUGCCCGUCGCUCUCGUUUUAAGAUGAGAUAAGUCGUAACAUAGUAGAGGUACUGGAAAGUGUUUCUAGAAUUUU